AUGGGGAAAGCGAGGCCGGGGUUGGGGAAAGAACUUGCCCGAGCCGCCGAGUGCCUCUGCCGGGGAGGUCGGGGCGGGGGCGACGCGCGCGUCCGAGGCUCCAGGACCCUGGCCGGGCGCGGAGGAGUCUGCGGGGCUGGGCCGCAGCGCGCGCUGAUGACGCAGCCGCGCGCGGCGGCCCUAGCGACGCUGUUACUAGGGAGCGGCGCGCCGCGACGGCUGCAUGGACGCGACUACAGCCCCGCACCGUAUCCCACCCGAGAUGCCGCAGUACGGGGAGGCGAACCACAUCUUCGAGUUGAUGCAGGUGACCUGACAGCCCUGCCUGUCGCGACGUCGGCGGCGGCUCGGGAACCUCCACUGCGACGUCGGAACAUGCUGGAGCAACUUUUGAUCCACCAGCCUGAGGACCCCAUCCCCUUCAUGAUCCAGCACCUGCAUAGAGACAACGACAAUGUGCCGAGGAUUGUAAUAUUAGGUCCACCGGCCUCGGGGAAAACAACCAUAGCAAUGUGGCUCUGCAAACAUCUGAACAGCAAUCUCCUCUCUCUGGAGAGCCUGGUCUUAAAUGAGUUUUCCUGUACAGCCACCGAAGCCAGGAGGCUUUAUCUGCAAAGGAAGGUAGUUCCCAGCGCACUGCUCAUCCAACUGGUUCAGGAACGCCUGGCUAAAGAGGAUUGCGUCAAGUGGGGCUGGAUUCUGGAUGGCAUCCCUGAGACACGUGAGCAGGCUCUGAGGAUCCAGACCCUUGGGAUUGCCCCCAGACACGUCAUCAUGCUGAGUGCUCCGGACAUAGUCCUGAUCGAGAGAAACUUGGGGAAGAGAAUCGAUCCUCAAACUGGAGAGAUUUAUCACACCACCUUUGACUGGCCACCGGAAUCUGAAAUCCAGAACCGUCUGAUGGUGCCAGAGGGCAUCUCAGAGCUGGAGACGGCUCGGAAACUGCUGGAGUAUCAUAGGAACAUCGUCAGGAUCAUCCCCUCCUACCCCAAGAUCCUCAAGGUCAUCAGUGCUGACCAGCCGUGUGUGGACGUCUUCUACCAAGCUCUGACCUAUGUCCAAAGCAACCAUCGUACUAAUGCCCCGUUCACCCCGAGGGUGCUGCUGCUUGGGCCUGUGGGUAGUGGGAAAAGUCUGCAGGCCGCCCUCCUGGCACAGAAAUACGGGCUUGUCAACGUCUGCUGUGGGCAACUGCUGAAAGAGGCCGUGGCAGACAAGACCACGUUUGGCGAGCACAUUCGGCCCUGUUUUGAAAAGGGGAUGGCAGGUGCUGCCAACACCUCCUCCUUUCGAAUCAGCAGCAAAAUUAAUAACUGUGCUGUUUUCCUAUCUUUCCACAUUUACUGGGCAAAGGACCCCAGGGCCCCAUCUCAGUGCAUCUUCAGUCCCUUGAUCCCAGGCUCUUGGUGACGGCACUGUGGACGGAGGAUUGGGGAGAUGCUUAUUCUGUACCUGGACUUUGAAAUAUAUAGGUCUGACCUCCUAAACUCGUUCUGACUUGAGCUGCAGUGAACAGAACAAAUUUAUUCCCCAGGGCUCCGCUCGUGGCGUUCUUUAUGCAGGCAACCUCCAUUACAGUCACCAGGAGCUUGCUCUGCAUACAAUAAACAGGGUCGGGCUUAAAUCACGCAGCCUUAGUUGCCAGGGAGCUCCUGUCACUUUUACACCAGUACAAAACAAGUAAAAACGAUUCUGGGCUUUUGGAAAAAUAAGUUCUCAGCUGUUUCUGUAUCAUUCAGAAUGAGAUAGUUGCUGAUGGACUCCAUUGCCACUGUGCGCUAUGGUGAUGUGUGCAGAUACCUUCUUUCCUCCGCAAACUCAAGCAAAGGCGCCACCAUGUCUCAGUUCUCUGCUUAAAUCAGCGGUGGCUCACAGUGGCCACUACUGCCAAAUGAUGUCCUCAGCCCCAUCCCCAUAACUCCAUUCCUACCAAAGGGUAUUUGAAAAUCCUGAAUUCUGGAGGCCCAGAGCUUCCCAAGGAAAUUUGCCAUUCUGUCUUUGCCACGUGGAAUGUCUUGUUUCCCAAUUUUCACUUAAUAUAAAACCAACCCUGCUCAUGGGCCUCACUCUGUUGUUCAAAGUCACCCAACAUAAAGAAGUCUGUACUGCUUUAUUUUUAGCCUUUCUCAUGAGAAUUUUAGCCAUAAAUUAGGGCCCAGGGACUGUUAAUGGUGCAUAUAACCUACUUCCAGGUUGCUGUUGUAAUGCUGCAACGCCGGCUCUUCAGCCAAGAGGCUUGGCUUCUGCCCUGGCCCUGGGAACUGUUUUUGUUCUCACGUGUUGCUUGGACUUCCUCUGGAGAGUGGCUAUCCAGGGAGGAGAUUAAAAACAGCCAAAGGCGGAUCUUGUCCUUGUUGGUUUAUGUCUUUGCCCAAGUGCACAUGAGAUGCUCAUCUCAGUCUGUCCACAGUGCACUCAGAACGUGCUGGAACUGUGUGGUCAGGAGCCCGCCAGCCAUGCCAUGUCCCCAGCAGUGGCGAUUCUGAGUUAGACUCUAACUUUUCUCCCUGGCUCCCUCCAUCCAUCCCUCCCUCUCUCUCUCUCUCUCUCUUUUUCUUUCUUUCUUUCUUUUUUUUAACAGAGUCUUGCUCUGUCACCCAGGUUAGAGUGUAGUGGCACAAUCUUGGCUCACUGCAACCUCCACCUCCUGGGUUCAAGCGAUUCUCCUGCCUCAGUCUCCCAAGUAGCUUGAGAUUAUAGGCGUGCACCACCAUGCCCAGCUAAUUUUUGUAUUUUUAGUAGAGAUGGGUUUCAGCAUGUUGACCAGACUGGCCUUGAACUCCUGACCUCAUGAUCCACCCACCUCAGUCUCCCAAAGUGCUGGGAUUACAGGCGUGAGCCACCGCGCCCGGCCCAGACUCUAGCUUUUCAUAUCUCCUGUCUCUCCAUAUGCUUUGACACCUGCCCAGCUGGCUUGUCGACCCACUUACAAUGAGUCCUAACUGGGAGCUGCCCCUGUGCCCCCGCCCCACCAGCAUCUCCCAGCAGCUAAAGCAGUUCAGUUAUAGGAAGGCCCACAUUCCUUGGCACAUACCAGACAUACCCCGUUCUUAUCUUCAGGAGAGAAGACAGCUAUUUAAUGGAUAAUGACUUUCUCCUAAAAGUGAAAGUCCUGGUGUGUAGAAUAGGUCAUGUGAAAGACAGAUCAUUAUCGAGUGUUAACUGCGCCCCUCCCACACACCCCCACAUUUCCUAAAUAUUUCUGUCUGGGAAAGGUCCCUCAUGGCCUAAUAGAACCCGAGAAAAGGUGGGAGAUUUGCGAGAGGUUCAAGAUGCUAAUUUGCACCCUUUCUGGUAAUGAGACCUCACCCCAACAAAUGCAGCCAUCGCCAUACAAACAAGCCAGACCAGCCCCAAAUUGGGAUGAUGAUGUGUUUUCAAGAGGCUUCCGAGUCCAGAUCCCAGGAGGCGUGGAUCAGAGCUCAGCCAAAGUGCUUCAUUUUUAAGGGGGAAUUAAUAUUCUCAUCACUAAAUGCACACUAAAGAUCGACAAUAGACCAGCUUUUCUCUUUUGUUAAAAACUUGCAAAGAGUUGCUGAGUUGAAAGACAGAGUAAAUCUCCCCGUCUGAGGAGUUCCUGAUGGCCUCCUCAUGAAGGUGCUGAGCCAGCGCCUGGACCAGCAAGACUGCCUCCAGAGAGGCUGGGUAUUGCAUGGCUUCCCGAGGGACCUGGACCAGGCACACCUGCUGAAUAGCCUGGGC